AGAGUUUGAUCCUGGCUCAGGAUGAACGCUGGCGGCGUGCCUAACACAUGCAAGUCGAACGAAGCUUGAGGAAUGAUUUCUUCGGAAUGAAUUCUGAUAUGACUUAGUGGCGGACGGGUGAGUAACACGUGAGCAACCUGCCUUUCAGAGGGGGAUAACGGCUGGAAACGGUCGCUAAUACCGCAUGAUAUGUUUGGAUGGCAUCAUUUGAACAUCAAAGAUUUAUCGCUGAAAGAUGGGCUCGCGUCUGAUUAGAUAGUUGGUGAGGUAACGGCUCACCAAGUCGACGAUCAGUAGCCGGACUGAGAGGUUGAACGGCCACAUUGGGACUGAGAUACGGCCCAGACUCCUACGGGAGGCAGCAGUGGGGAAUAUUGCACAAUGGGGGAAACCCUGAUGCAGCAACGCCGCGUGAAGGAAGACGGUUUUCGGAUUGUAAACUUCUUUUCUUUGUGAAGAAACAAAUGACGGUAGCAAAGGAAUAAGCAUCGGCUAACUACGUGCCAGCAGCCGCGGUAAUACGUAGGAUGCAAGCGUUAUCCGGAUUUACUGGGUGUAAAGGGAGCGCAGGCGGGACUUCAAGUUGGAUGUGAAAGGUCAAGGCUUAACCUUGGCACUGCAUCCAAAACUGUAGUUCUUGAGUGGAGUAGAGGUAAGCGGAAUUCCGAGUGUAGCGGUGAAAUGCGUAGAUAUUCGGAGGAACACCAGUGGCGAAGGCGGCUUACUGGGCUCUAACUGACGCUGAGGCUCGAAAGUGUGGGGAGCAAACAGGAUUAGAUACCCUGGUAGUCCACACUGUAAACGAUGAUAGCUAGGUGUGGGGGGUCUGACCCCUUCCGUGCCGGAGUUAACGCAAUAAGCUAUCCACCUGGGGAGUACGACCGCAAGGUUGAAACUCAAAGGAAUUGACGGGGGCCCGCACAAGCAGUGGAGUAUGUGGUUUAAUUCGACGCAACGCGAAGAACCUUACCAAGUCUUGACAUCCCUUGACGAUGCUGGAAACAGUAUUUCUCUUCGGAGCAAGGAGACAGGUGGUGCAUGGUUGUCGUCAGCUCGUGUCGUGAGAUGUUGGGUUAAGUCCCGCAACGAGCGCAACCCCUGCCAUUAGUUGCUACGCAAGAGCACUCUAAUGGGACCGCUACCGACAAGGUGGAGGAAGGUGGGGACGACGUCAAAUCAUCAUGCCCCUUAUGACCUGGGCUACACACGUAAUACAAUGGCCGUUAACAGAGGGAAGCAAUACAGCGAUGUGGAGCAAAACCCUAAAAACGGUCUCAGUUCGGACUGUAGGCUGAAACCCGCCUACACGAAGUUGGAAUUGCUAGUAAUCGCGGAUCAGCAUGCCGCGGUGAAUACGUUCCCGGGCCUUGUACACACCGCCCGUCACACCAUGGGAGUUUGUAACACCCGAAGUCAGUAUCCUAACCGCAAGGAGGGAGCUGCCGAAGGUGGGAUAAGCGACUGGGGUGAAGUCGUAACAAGGUAGCCGUUCGAGAACGAGCGGCUG
rnacentral:rRNA from 1 species